UACGGAGGGUGCGAGCGUUGUUCGGAAUCACUGGGCGUAAAGCGCGUGUAGGCGGCCCAUUAAGUCUGAUGUGAAAGCCCGGGGCUCACCCCCGGAAGGGCAUUGGAAACUGAUGGACUAGAGUCCCGGAGAGGAGAGUGGAAUUCCUGGUGUAGCGGUGAAAUGCGUAGAUAUCAGGAGGAACACCGGUGGCGAAGGCGGCUCGCUGGACGGUGACUGACGCUGAGACGCGAAAGCGUGGGGAGCAAACAGG
rnacentral:rRNA from 1 species